AAAAAUUCAAAUCAAUGAAUCAUCUUGUUUUUUUGGAACUUAGGCCUCGUUCUUCUGCACGUUUGCGAAUGACUUUUUCACUAAAAAGUCCUUUUCUCUUAAAAGGAACCAAGAACAGCCUCCGUUUCUCUUAAUUUUUCUCUAGACGGAGAAGCUAAAAAUUUCUCAUUUUUCUUUUAUAAUUUUUUUUGCACGUUCUUUCUCCUCUGCUGGUUCCCCAAACGUUCUUUCCCCUCUGCUGGUUCUUUGGAGUUGUAUACCCAAUUUUUUUCCCCAUUUUCGGCUUUCAAAGCUCUUUCCUGUUCUUUGUUCCUCUUCCGCAGGUGAGAGUUUCUUUUCUUCUUCUUCUGUUUAAUUAGUUCCUCUUCUGUUUAAUAUUUUCUUUCGCUGGAAUUUGAUUGCCAUCUUAUGCUUCAUUGUUAUAAAAUACUGACCCUUUGCCUCCUUAUCCAGCCUCAAUCAAGGUUCGCUCCAAAUCCCAGUUUUCUUUUUCUAAAAAAUGAACCAGUUUUGAGAUGUUGAGAUGGGUACUUUUAUCAUGCUGUAAUUGGCUCUCUUUUUUCCCAGUUGUAUAGAUCGAAUAGGCCUUUGGGUAUUGGUUUGUUUUUAGUUUUUAACUUUGAAGUUCAAAAGUUCGCCUUUGUCAAUCUCAUUCUAAUAUGCGAUUGGGAUCUUUGAUUUUUUUUUUAUGUAGAAGUUGAUCAUAUUCAAUUUCUUUGUUUCAUAUAUAAAUGGCUCUUCAAUUUGUUUUUUCAUUUUCAAUUUGUUUUUUCAUUUUGCUUCAGCAUGAAAAUUCCCUUUUCAGGGCAUUAGGAAUAGUGGAUGAGGCUAUAUUUCUAUUAUAAACUAUCUUCCCCUGUGUUCAAGAUUGAUACAUAUCUCAUAGUUGGGUAGAUUUGUGGUGUGUGUUAUCUGAAUACUGAGACUUCUCGCAAGAUGGUUAUGCUGUGAUUGCUUCGGAUGGUCCUGGUGAGUAUCCUGUAAUAGUUGAAUCAAAAGCUGGAAAUGAUGGGCUUGGUGUCACAGUGACUCCUGGAACUGUUGCAUAUGUCACAACUGGAGGACCAAUACCCGAUGGUGCUGAUGCAGUUGUCCAAGUUGAGGACAUUGAACAGGUUAAAGCUCCUUCUGAAACAAAGCAUGUAAAGAUAUUGGUGCAAACUAGUAACGGUGUUGAUAUUCGUCAAGUGGUAUGGCAUCAUUAACUCCUCUCACUUCGCCUACUUCCGUCUUCUCUUCACUGUCUCAUCCUUCCUUUUCCUUUUUCUGCUACAAACCAUCCUUGUCUCUAUGAUAAUUUUUUUCUGCCUUGCUACUUCCUCAAAGCCUUUGUUAGUUGUUAUAACAACUGAGUCAAUGAUUCAGAAGAUUGAAGUAAUAUGUUCACGGUCAAUAAUUAGUUAUUUACGCCCUUCUGGAAGUAUUAAUAGGUACAUUGGAAAUUUGGUUCUAUUGCCAAACAGCUAAAGGUCUCAAUUGGAAAAGUGUACGUUACUUGAGCACUCUGAAUGUGUGCAUGCAGAUCUAUGGCUUGUUGGAGAAUAGGAAUGAAGUUAAACUUCCAUGGCUUCUCACCUUCUGUAUAAGUUGACCUGACUUUGUUUAUCUAUGGUGAAAAAGAAAAAUAGAGAAGAAGCAGAACACAAUGAACUUACUGUGUUGUGCAAUUGUGUGUAGCUUCUAAUAUUUUUCUUUUGGAAUGAAUGUACUUUAUAUGAAACAAUUUCACAUUUCCUGCUGGAAGUUUUGUCUCAGCCAUUGUUAUUUCUGAUUUAAGUGGUACCCCAUUGAGCAAGGCUGCAUCGUCAUAUGAUUCAAGUUCAAGUAGUACGCCACAUAAAAGUUUGUGAAAUGAAAUAAUGGGAGAUGGAUCUCAGGAUGUGCAGUUCAAAGUAGCUGUUCUUACAGUGAGUGAUACUAUUGCAUCAGGUGCUGGGCCUGAUCAAAGAUUCCAAGAAUGAGAAAGAGGAGUAGCAUUCAAGUGGUGUUGGCCCUCGAAUUGGUUGUGUUAAUGACUACCUAAAAGAGCUGCAAUUUCAGGCACUGGAACAAGUCAACCUAUCUCCAAGGAUUGAACAUGGUCGCUUCAGAAACUGCGGUCCGAUACCUUCACUGAGACUUAGCCCCAAUUCGUGUCUCACCAAGGCUUGCAUACAUGGGACUCCCUAGCCCAAGGGUGUCUGUUAUGGCUGCCAAUUGAAAACUUACUGAGCAUUCACCAAUAGGCUUCAACAUCUAUUCCUAUUAGGUUCAACAUACACAAUUGUAAAUGCUAUUGUAAAAUUUUUAGUAUUUAUAUUUGGUAUAUAAAUAUUAUCCCUUUUUAAAACUUUAAUUCAAAUAUAUGUAAUAUUUGAAUUUGUUAGGUUUA